UGGUGAUAAUAUCUGGGAGCCAAGAAAGAGUGUCAUCCAUCAUGUUGCAGAUUUGCUUGAUUUGGCUGGUCUCGAGUUUCUUUGAGGAAUCCAGCGGGCAGAUUGUCAUCACUCAGACACCAGCUUCGAUACAGGCGAAUCUUGGGGACAGAGUCUCCAUCCAGUGCAGGGCUUCCUCUUCUGUCAGUAGCUAUAUGAGUUUAUAUGAGUUUAAACCAGGACAGAAGCCCAAGCUACUGAUUUAUCAGGCUUCAAACCGUUUCGAAGGGAUCCCAGAUCGCUUCAGCGGCAGCCAAAGCGGCAACGACUUCUCCUUCACUAUCAACGGUGUCAAAACCGAGGAUGUAGGGGAAUAUUACUGUGGCCAAUAUGCCAGCACUCCUCUCCACAGUGAUACACUUCAGUACAAAAACCAGCUUACUAGUCUGAAGACAUCAGGAAGAGAUGGCCAUCAGCUGCUUCUCGCAUGGCGACUGUGUGGGCUGCUGCGCAUGCGCCGUCUGUACGGGAUGCUGCGAGUGCACAGUCCGAACGGGAUCCCGCCCAUGCGCAGUCCGUACAGACGUCGCGUGUGUGCUGCCAGGCGGUUUGCCAAACCCCAGGUGCCGAAGAGGGUUCCUCUGCCACUGCCUGUCUAA